rnacentral:rRNA from 1 species
CACGUAGGCCGACUGGUUAGUUGGGGGUGAAAUCCCAGGGCUCAACCCUGGAACUGCCUCCAAUACUGCCAGUCUUGAGUCCGAGAGAGGUGAGUGGAAUUCCUAGUGUAGAGGUGAAAUUCGUAGAUAUUAGGAAGAACACCAGUGGCGAAGGCGGCUCACUGGCUCGGUACUGACGCUGAGGUGCGAAAGCGUGGGGAGCAAACA